UACGGAGGGUGCGAGCGUUGUCCGGAAUCACUAGGCGUAAAGCGCGCGUAGGCGGCUUUGUAAGUUAGAGGUGAAAGCCCGGGGCUCAACUCCGGAACUGCCUUUAAGACUGCAUCGCUUGAAUCCAGGAGAGGUGAGUGGAAUUCCGAGUGUAGAGGUGAAAUUCGUAGAUAUUCGGAAGAACACCAGUGGCGAAGGCGGCUCACUGGACUGGUAUUGACGCUGAGGUGCGAAAGCGUGGGGAGCAAACAGG
rnacentral:rRNA from 1 species